rnacentral:rRNA from 1 species
AUGGUAAAACGAGGGUUUAGCUGUCUCCUUUUUCAUGUCAAUGAAAUUGAUCUACCCGUGCAAAAGCGGGUAUUAUCUUAUAAGACGAGAAGACCCUGUGAAGCUUUAGACAAUAAGACAGACCCGGCCUAAAACCACUAAUAAAGGACUAAGCUUUAAACCCCUGUCUCAGUGUCUUCGGUUGGGGCGACCACGGGGAGUUGCGUAACCCCCGCGUGGACUGGGAACAAGAGUGUUUUUGUUCCUAAAGAUAAGAGCCUCCGUUCUAAUAAACAGAAUUUCUGACCUUACAAGAUCCGGCAAUGCCGAUCAACGAACCAAGUUACUCCAGGGAUAACAGCGCCAUCCUCUUUCAGAGCCCUUAUCGACAAGGGGGUUUACGACCUCGAUGUUGGAUCAGGACAUCCUAAUGGUGUAGCCGCUAUUAAGGGUUCGUUUGUUCAACGAUUAAUAGUCCUACGUGAUCU